UCAGCUUUUAACUCUUUACGGUGGUCAAUUUACAAUUUCAAUUUAGUUUAUAAAACCAAAUUACAUUUUUAAGGUAGUUUGUUUCAAGUUUGUCCACUGGUCUUUUCUAUUUUGUUUCUUGUUUAUUUGCUUCAGCUACGUGAAAUCGAAUGGGAAAAUUCUGGAUUUCUGUUGCACGACAGACGAUGUGAUGUGGCCUGUUUUAUUUAUGACUCGUUGGAUCCAGCUUCGUUUACCCAAGUGAUACAACUGCGAGAGAAACUUCCCAAAACAGUUCCUUGUAUGUUAGUUGCUGGUAAAAGUGAAGGCGUAGCAGCUAAACAGGAUUUUGAAAUGCAGCCGUCUUUGUACUGCUCGUUAAACAAGUUACCACCACCUCAGCCAUUUUCAUCCCUAAGCAGACCAGACGUAUACAGGGCUACCUACGACAACCUCGCCCAAAUGGCCGUCUAUCCGUA